GGCUGACUAAACACAAACAGGAUCGAAUCGAGGCCAAGUGUGACCAUAAAGCACAGAUCAGCGGGAGCAGUGGGGGGUGUGUAUGUGUGUGUGUGUGUGUG